AGCUCCUCAUCCACUUCUAGGCUAUGUUUGGAUGUUUUUAAGUUAGUUCCAACCUCCAUAGCACUUCCCAAAGUGAUAGCAUCAUGGAUUUCAAAAUCUUCCUUCGAAUUUUCAAUAGUUGAGUUGGGGAGUUCACUUUGCUCUUGAAUUUGUGCCAUGAACUCCAUAAUCUGCCCAGUUUGCUUCUCCAAUUCACCCGUCUUCUUGGCUUGAUUUUGCAUCUCUUUGUUUUGAUUUUCUACUUCCUGGUUCAAAAAGGUGAGUAACUUAUUAAACAUAUCAUUAUCCAAAGAUGUAUCUGAAUUGAAUUGGGCAGAUUGUUGUGAUGGCUGUGAUGGUUCAUAUGGCCGGUGAUAAAACUCCUCCGAUGGUGGCAAAUAUUCUUCUUGUUGUGAGCCCUGCACCAAAGAGUUUAAUUCAUUAAGAAUUUGAUUGUAAUCUAUUGACGAAUCUGAGUUUGAUUAGGCAUAUUGUAUAUGAGGUUGUAGUGGCUGCAUAGGUCUUGAAUAGAACUUCUCAUAUGGCUGCCUAUAUGCUUCGUGUUGAACUUGUUGAGCUUCCCACCACAUAGAGUUUGAAUGAUCACUCCAAUCUCUUUGUGGACAUUGAUUGGCUUGAUAUCCUUGCUUAUAAGACGCACCAAAUGUAGGGACACUUUGCAUUGUGGUCCUUUCGGCAUAUUGCGACAAUUGAGAAUUAAGAUUUGCCAAUUGAGCUUGAAUGCUAGCAAAAUUCAUGUCCUACUUCUUUAGUAUCAAAGAAAGAGAACUAAAUCAAAUACCAAAAAUUAAAAUAAACAAAACAAAACCAAAUAAGAAACUAAAAACAAAAGACACGAAAAGAAACAAAGUCAGUAACUAAAACAAAAGACACAAAAAAGAAAUAAAAACAAACAACGGGGGAUUAGCAAAGUUGCUAAUCCCCGGCAACGGCGCCAAAAAUUUGAUGCGAAAUAACUUAUCACACAAAUUAAACCCUCUUGUUGUCAAUUGUAGUAAAGAAUGUAAGUAGGGAUCGUUCUAGGCCGGGGAUUAGGAGGGAUUGCUAAACACUUGAAACUGACUUAAAUAUGUGAAAACAAACUUAAAAGCAUGAAAUUAAACUUACAAGACUCAAAACAAGGCCACAAGACUCAAAACAGAUUAUAGAGACUCAAAAUUGCCUAAAAACAACUCUAAGGCAGUUUCUGCCACUAACACUAAGUUUGGAAGAAAAUUGAUUUUAUCUUCACUUAAAACACUUAAAAACACAAUCUAAAACAAGUACUAAAUAAUAUGACUUUAAUAAAAUAAGGGGAUUUUGGUUUUGGACGAAAAUAAGGAAAACAAAGCAAGAAUAAUUUAAACAGAUUCUUAGACAAAUUUAGGUGAAUUGAUGGGUAAUGCGUUAAACUAUGGAUGAUGGGCUAGCUAGAUGGUUCUUCUCCACACAUGACACACUUGCAUAUAAAACGAUUUCCAGUUGCUUUUCAAUAAAUCAUGAACCUCAACACCCCAGAUUAAUUAGGUACGCUUAAAUUAAUCCUUAGAUUUUCCUAAUUUCAUUGAAUUGGAUGAUUGCAUACAACAACCCAAAGCAUUCCCCACAAGUUCCCUACAUGAAUUGCAUCAUAGAGAUACAAGCAAGAAUCAUUAAGUUCUAUGAAAAUCAUAAGCAUUGACGAAACACUUGUAACUAUGAAUU
rnacentral:lncRNA from 1 species